UCCCGGAUCCCCAACCCAUCUGAACCCUUCUGCCCUGAAGCAGCUUCCCAAGGGGACACCCCGAGCGACAGUAACAGAAACAACUCUCAACAACGGAUAUCUUGGCUCUCGCAACGAUAAAGAACGCAGCGAAAUGCGAUACGUAAUGUGAAUUGCAGAAUUCCGUGAGUCAUCGAAUCUUUGAACGCACAUUGCCGGUCGACUCUUCGGAGGAGACCACAUCUGCCUCAGCGUCGGGAUACCCCCUCACGCACAACCGCGCGUGGAUCUGGCCCCCCCGGCCCCCCUCGCAGGGGACCGGGCCGGCUGAAAUGCAGAGGCCCGUGCGCGGCCCACUUGUGGCCCCGACUAGGUAGGUAGCUCGCUACUGCUAAGCGGCGGCUCGGUGCCGCGGACUUUGGGCCGCAAAGGAUACUCCCAUUCAUUCGACCUGAGUUCAGGUGAGGCUACCCGUGA
rnacentral:rRNA from 1 species